rnacentral:tRNA from 1 species
GGAGAGGUGUCCGAGCGGUUUAAGGAGGCGGUCUUGAAAACCGUUGACGUGCGAGCGUCCGUGGGUUCGAAUCCCACCUUCUCCG